rnacentral:rRNA from 1 species
ACGUAGGGGGCAAGCGUUGUCCGGAAUCAUUGGGCGUAAAGAGCGCGUAGGCGGCCCUGUAAGUCCGCUGUGAAAGUCAAGGGCUCAACCCUUGGAUGCCGGUGGAUACUGCAGGGCUAGAGUCCGGAAGAGGCGAGUGGAAUUCCUGGUGUAGCGGUGAAAUGCGCAGAUAUCAGGAGGAACACCGAUGGCGAAGGCAGCUCGCUGGGACGGUACUGA